rnacentral:rRNA from 1 species
GAUGAACGCUGGCGGCGUGCCUAAUACAUGCAAGUCGAGCGAACGGACGAGAAGCUUGCUUCUCUGAUGUUAGCGGCGGACGGGUGAGUAACACGUGGAUAACCUACCUAUAAGACUGGGAUAACUUCGGGAAACCGGAGCUAAUACCGGAUAAUAUUUUGAACCGCAUGGUUCAAAAGUGAAAGACGGUCUUGCUGUCACUUAUAGAUGGGUCCGCGCUGCAUUAGCUAGUUGGUAAGGUAACGGCUUACCAAGGCAACGAUGCAUAGCUGACCUGAGAGGGUGAUCAGCCACACUGGAACUGAGACACGGUCCAGACUCCUACGGGAGGCAGCAGUAGGGAAUCUUCCGCAAUGGGCGAAAGCCUGACGGAGCAACGCCGCGUGAGUGAUGAAGGUCUUCGGAUCGUAAAACUCUGUUAUUAGGGAAGAACAUAUGUGUAAGUAACUGUGCACAUCUUGACGGUACCUAAUCAGAAAGCCACGGCUAACUACGUG